AGCGUAUAUUAAAGUUGUUGCAGUUAAAAAGCUCGUAGUUGAAUUUCGGGGUUAGUAGGUUGGUCAUGCCUCUGGUAUGUACUGGUCUCACUGAUUCCUCCUUCCUGAUGAACCGUAAUGCCAUUAAUUUGGUGUUGCGGGGAAUUUGGACUGUUACUUUGAAAAAAUUAGAGUGUUUAAAGCAAGCUAACGCUUGAAUACAUUAGCAUGGAAUAAUGAAAUAGGACGUUCGAUCCUAUUUUGUUGGUUUCUAGGAUUGACGUAAUGAUUAAUAGGGAUAGUUGGGGGCAUUAGUAUUCAAUUGUCAGAGGUGAAAUUCUUGGAUUUAUUGAAGACUAACUACUGCGAAAGCAUUUGCCAAGGAUGUUUUCAUUAAUCAAGAACGAAAGUUAGGGGAUCGAAGACGAUCAGAUACCGUCGUAGUCUUAACCAUAAACUAUGCCGACUAGGGAUCGGAUGAUGUUAAUUUUUUAAUGACUCAUUC
rnacentral:rRNA from 1 species